rnacentral:rRNA from 1 species
GACAGAGGGGGCAAGCGUUGCUCGGAAUUAUUGGGCGUAAAGAGCACGCAGGCGGUUUGGCAAGUCGGAUGUGAAAACCCGAAGCUCAACUUCGGGCCUGCAUCCGAAACUGCCCGACUAGAGGUAGGUAGGGGAGAUCGGAAUUCCUGGUGUAGCGGUGAAAUGCGCAGAUAUCAGGAAGAACACCCGUGGCGAAGGCGGUUCUCUGGGACGGUACUGACGCUGAGACGCGAAAGCGUGGGGAGCGAACAGG